rnacentral:lncRNA from 1 species
CCGUAGUAAAAACCUUUGUCUAUUGAGAACAGUGUUAAAAGCAGUGCAGCAUGUGGUUCUCCAUCUCUUCAGUAAAGACACAGAAGUUUUCACAGCUGACACAAUCAUUGCCUGUGAUGGAAAAUAGUGCUGCUGAUUCUACACAAGUGUUCUGCGUGUUUAGAAACCGGUGCAGUCAGGGAGCUGAGGGUUUCAAUUCCCAUCAUUCAUAUACGGUACGUUUCCACUCAAAUCCAACUCUGAGCUGACUUUCCUCAAACGUUCUUCAAUAAAACAUGGAACCCAUGAAUAUUGUGAAUGAUUAUUUCCUACUUGAAAACAGAUGAAGACAUUUUUUGCGCGGCUGAAGGUGACUGGGGCAACACCAAGGCUGGUUACACUGCAGUGUUAAAGUGUGAGAACACAGCUGGACUGAGACAAAGGAAAUGCAGCCUCAAAGGAAAAUGGCGGGAGGAGGAGUCAGCAUGUGUUCUCUUUGAGCUGGACAGUGUGUUGCAAAGCUCAUUGAUUGCAGA